rnacentral:rRNA from 1 species
GACGUAGGGCGCGAGCGUUGUCCGGAUUUAUUGGGCGUAAAGCGCGCGCAGGCGGUUCGUUAAGUCCGAUGUGAAAGCUCCCGGCUCAACUGGGAGAGGUCUUCGGAUACUGGCGAACUCGAGGGAGGCAGAGGAAGGUGGAAUUCCGGGUGUAGUGGUGAAAUGCGUAGAGAUCCGGAGGAACACCAGUGGCGAAGGCGGCCUUCUGGGCCUUUCCUGGCACGCUGAGGCGCGAAAGCGUGGGGAGCGAACCGG